GUCGAGCUUGGAAACGCGGGCUUGUGAUCCAAGUGGAGACAACAAGGUGACAGGACGUUGGACUGAUCUUUUUGGGCCGGGUUCGUGUUUGCUAUUUACUGACCUGCCCAUUCCAAGUCGGGAGUUGGGUGUUCGGACUUGAGCGAAGGCUUGCGGUUUGGACACUCUUAGAGCGGAGGAGAUCACGGGCUGGUGCCUCCCGAGUCCCACUUUGUUUAAUACCAUUGGGGUUUUUUACUG
rnacentral:SRP_RNA from 1 species